UUUGCAAAUAAAUGUAAAUUUAUGUUAUAUAGAAUUAUAGGCAUUAUUAAAAAUAAAUAAAAUUAAAAAAAAAUGUAUAAUCCAAAUAAAUUUAUCAUAAAAAGGAAACACUCUCUCUCCCCACCACUGUCAGACGACAAUGAAGAUGACGCUCACGGUGACGAUUCUGAUUAGGGGGAGACGGUAAACUGACACGUUGGUUUUGUGGAUAAAGUCACUAUACCAUCAAAAAUGGCCACCAAACUUUUUAGGCGCGUGUUCUUCAUUCUCUUUAACUGCUCGUGGGUAUAUCACCACAACACUCUUUAUUACAAUAAAGAAACAAAAAAGCCCCUCUCUUUAUCAAUUAUCUUUGCCAUACCCAAUGCCAAUCGCCAACAGAACAUAUACAUAAACGAUUCAUAGACCAGAGAAAGAAGAAGAAGCAGAAUAAGAAGAAGAUGAGGAAUCCAUCAACGGCUACUUCUGCAGGAGGAGGACCACAAGCAGCGACGACAACAGCGAAAACACCAUGUUGCAGCAAGGUAGGGUUAAAGAGAGGGCCAUGGACGCCUGAAGAAGAUGAGCUUCUUGUCAACUACAUCAAGAAAGAAGGGGAAGGUCGCUGGCGUACCUUGCCUAAAAGAGCUGGACUUCUCCGCUGCGGUAAGAGUUGCCGUCUCCGAUGGAUGAACUACCUCCGUCCUUGUGUAAAACGCGGCCAGAUCGCUCCUGAUGAAGAAGAUCUCAUUCUUCGCCUGCAUCGCCUCCUGGGAAAUAGGUGGUCAUUGAUAGCUGGGAGAAUUCCAGGGCGUACAGAUAAUGAGAUCAAGAAUUACUGGAACACUCACCUGAGCAAGAAGCUGAUAAGCCAAGGAAUCGAUCCAAGAACCCACAAGCCACUCAAGCCUGAAUCUGUUGAUCAUCACAAAGCUUCUUCAUCUAAAGCAAAUCGCAAAACAUCAAGCCCUAAGAGUAAUAAUAACAAUCCAGCUGGUGCAGCUGCUUCUUCUGGUGUGGAAGAAACAAACAGCGGGGGCAGUACUCAAAUCAUCAGCAACGAACAAAAUUUAUACAUCGAAAACACUUCCUUGGAUCAUCACUACCACAUUAACGGGAACAAUAAUAAUGCAAGCCAUGGAUAUUCAAGCUUGCUGAAUUGUGGUGAUGGUACUUGUGGGAUGUAUUUGAGAAGCAACGUUCAAGGGCUUAACAACGAAGAAGACGAAGAUAUCAAUUACGGCACCGAUGAUGUCUUCUCUUCAUUUCUCAAUUCGAUCAUCAAUGAGGAAGCUUUCACUAGUCAACAGCAUCAGCAGAUGCAGCAACAAGCCGACCUGAUUGUGCCCAGUUCGGAUCCUUUGGUUUCUAUCAGUACUGCUUCAACGAUAGGCGGUGGCUCUAGCUGGGAAUCUGUGCUCAUGUCCUCCACUUUUAACCGAAAUGAUCCCAUCAAGAAGGUUAAUGACCAUCUCUAGUAGCAGCCAAUAUUCCAAAUUAAGCACCUGCAUUCGCUGAGACGCAUGAAAUUAAUUUAAGUUGGUUAAUUAGUUAACAAAGAAUGCUAGGGGUUUGAUCGGUUAAUUAUUUUAUGUAUGCUAUUUAAUUAUAUAUAAUCUACAUAUAUAUACAUACAUAUUCUUGUUUGGUGUUUGUAAGCAUAUUAGUUCCAUUUCCAGAACAAUGUAUGGCGUAGACUUGUGUGCGAAUGAAUGUAAUUUGUUAUAUUUAUCAUCAUCGUUGCAUCUCAGAUUUCCAUUGAAAUUUCUCAGAUUUAACUUGAAGGCUCAUCAAGGAUCAAUAUUUCCAGCAAUUAUUCAAAAGAAAAUGGGUGUGUGUGUGUGUCUGUGUGUAUAUACAUAUAUAUAUAUAUAUUCAUAAUCUCUAAUCAAUUUCUUUGAUGAUCAAACUGAUGAAUUUGAAGAGGUUCCUUCAAAUUAUAGAUUAAAUGGAUUCUAGCAUUUUGAUUUUACUAUCGAAUAGAUUUUUUUUUUAUUAAUAAUAAUACAUAAAUAUGUAAUAUUACGAGAAAUGCAAGUGAUCUAAUAGCAUUGCAUGAUAAUUUAUUCAAACAAGUCAAUUUUAAGAAUUUACAUAUAAUUUGCCUUAAGUGCUAAUUCUCAAGUUCUUUGGACAUGAUUUUAUUUAUAGUUAGAAAUUCAAUGCAUGGCUUUUCUUCUAGUACGGAUAAAGUUCUUUACUGGAAUGUUUUUUGGUAUGUUGAGAAAGUUUUAAAGAGAGGAAUUGUUCUUAUAAUUUCUUGCAUUAUAAGAUAAAUAAUUCGAUUAUUGGACUACUAUGUAUAUAGCUAAUGACAAGGCCUUUGAUGGCUGUGGCUGAGAAAUGUGAUCAAUUGAAAAUCAACUACUCAUGUUUUUAAUGUUUAAGUAAAGUAUUAUAUAUGUUAGAAAUAGAUUUAAUAGAUUUCACCAUAUUCACAAUAAUUUUAACAUUAUUUAUUGUUGCUAUUGAAUUCUAUAAUGUUUUCAAGAUGAUCAUAUCAUGCUGUUAAAAAUUUAAACAUGUUGUUAGUAGUGAUGUGUAUAAACUCUCUAACCUAAAGUUUUUAACAAUAUUUUUACAUUAAUAUACAAUACUAAUAUAAAUGAUGUUGUAUGUAUUAUUUAUUAUUUUAUAUGUUA
rnacentral:misc_RNA from 1 species